UCCUGACACACCCCGUCCCGAAGGAGGGCAUGCUGGCCGUCACGUGAGAGUGACGUAACCAUUUGCACAGUACGGAAGCUUUAAGAUACAAUUUAUAAGUUGAUACACCCGAAGGUGAGUCCUAAUUUUGUCCAAUCUGUCAGAACACCGUCGAAUUCCUCGUAGUCACCACACCUUUGUGAUUCCUGAACCUGGAGGGGCGCAAAACCAAAAUUGAGUGGGUCAGUAAAACAAUUCUUUUCAAAUCCAAUUUUUUCUCAAAGCAUUGUAACCCCUCUCCGUAAAACCUGUAUACUUUCCCAGAAAUGUAAAAUAUAAAUAUACAUAUAUAUUCUCAAAAACUUCAAGUCGUUAACUCAACAUUUUCAUAACAAUUAUGUCAUGCCACAUCAUCUCAAACAUUUCUCAUAUUAAUUAUGCCAUGCCACAUCAUCUCAACAGUAAUAAGGUAUGAAUGCAUCAACAUAAUCAUAUCAGGUGCAAGAAAGUAAUCAACCGUAGGCCCUCUAAUAGCCCUGUACGGUUGAACCUAGAGCUCAAAAUCUAUCACUCUCACUCUCUGCCGGAGUCACUCCGCGUGACCUGUACGGCCUUCUGCACAUAAGUUACGCUCUAGUGCUUUUCAUAAUCAUCUGUGCACAUAAUCUAAGGUCACCCACCAGUCGGAAUCUCACUAACACUCUCGCGACUGGCCUGUCGUACCCACUCCGCGUGGACUGUACGACUAGCAUCUACUUGGAUCCAAGACGAGCGUGCGAUGCGGUGAAUACUAUAAGCACUAAACUAUGGUGCAUGAUUUGAGCUCAAUAUACAUCAACAUCAUCAUAACAGAAAUAAAUACUCACAUGUGCGUCCACCGCACCAUUUCAUACAUAUGCAUCAUAAAUCAAUUCUUACCUGUGCGUCCACCGCACCAAUUCAUACAUAUGCAUCAUAAAUCAAUUCUUACCUGUGCGUCCACCGCACCAAUUCAUACAUAUGCAUCAUAUAUUAAUUCAUGCAUGGCAUUUCAAUUCACAUUUCUAUAUACUUUUCAUAUCAAUUCUAUGCAUGGUAUUUCACUUCCCGUUUUUCCACAUAACUCAUAUGCAUUUCAUUUUAAACAUAUUUUCAUUUCAAUUCAAUUUCUGGGAAACGUCAAGUAUAUAUAUAUACGGAAAACAAAACUGCCCACUCACCUGGAGUUCGUCCAACAACUCCCUAGCACCACACAUCAAGGCGUCACGACGAUCGCCGCCUAGAAUAGUAAUCAAAUCCAACCUCAGAAUUCAUAUCGAUAGAAUAUAUAACUUAUAUAAAAUACGUCACUACGUAGUUCGAUCCGAAAGAUCUGCCACUCAGAUUUUAAAUCCAUAACUUCCAGAGGUCCACAAUAUAUCUCUAGGAUAACCUCCUAAAAUUUCAUUACCAUCCAACGGUCGGAUCUCCGUAAAUUUCCAAAACAAUUCCAAUUCCGGAAGAUCCGUAACUCGGAUUCCCAAUCCGUAAGUUCCAAUAAUCCUCAAAUAUUACGUAUUACAACGUAUCAAAGUUUGGUAACGAUCCAACGGUCGGAUCGUCAAUUCACAUUUUUACCUAAAUGUGAAAACUAUAAAACGUUAUUCGAACACCUAACCAACAAUCCUUAAUAACUUUCUCAUACGGUGCUCAAUUUGGGUAUAUGAAUAUACCACGGUGAUCUACUCGACGUCACGGACGUCGACAUAUUUUUAAAAUAAUUUUAUUUUUAUUUUUUUACUGUAGCACCUUCUUCUUCCUUGGGUCGCCGGACUGGUUUUUCCGGCGGCCGUUUUCCGGGCAGUUUUUCAAAUUUCCAUAACUUUGUCAUUUCUCAACGAAAUCAAGUGAUUCAAAAACGAGAGUUGUAGCCCUUGAAGAGACAAAGAGAAUGGUACCUUUCACAACACCUAGUUCGCCGUGGUUUGGCCGGAAACUGCCUCGAAAGCCUCGGAGGUCGCCGGAAACUGGGUAUUUUUCAAAUGAGUAUAACUUCUUCAAUACUCAACGAAAUUGAGUGAAACAAAAAGGAAAGUUGUAGUACUUGACGAGACGAAGAUAUUUAUACCUACCUCGACUCCUAACUCGCAGGGGAUUCGCCGGAAAAAGCCUCGAAAGCUCCGGCCAAACUUUGAACUUGUCGAUCUCCGUGUUCUUACGUCCAAAAACUUCCAACGAAGCACUCCGAGCUUCCUUGGGACUUCCUAAAGCUCACUAUGAGCUUGGUUUGGCCUAAAACACGACCAAUUCAAAGCUCAUGAACAGUACACAUUCACGGCAACUUUAGAAACUAGGGUUUUCGAAGUGAAACUUACUUGAAAUGGGUAUCAUCGUGAUCGUAUGGUCUUCAGGAGUACGAUGGCACUCUUAAAUCCGUCGUUGGUGGAAGUUUAGGGUGUUUUUGUGGUGGUCUUGGUGGUUGCCGUGUGUUCGAGAGGGUGAGAGAGAGAGAGAGAUCUGAAAUGGAAGAAGAAGAGAGAGAAGGGAAAGGUUACGGGUUUUAGGGAGUGUUUUGAGGUAUGAGGAUCCCAC
rnacentral:lncRNA from 1 species